UGUGUGUGUGUGUGUGUGUGUGUGUGUGUGUGUGUGUGUGUGUGUGUGUGUGUGUGUACCUGUCAAAGAGCACAGAGACCCUCUCCAUGGCAACAAUGAUCGACUCGCUGUCUGGGGCCUGAGGGUCAGAGUGGGCGGGGCGACCGGCAGGGCUGGCUUU